GAUGAACGCUGACAGAAUGCUUAACACAUGCAAGUCAACUUGAACUUCGGUUUGGGUGGCGGACGGGUGAGUAACGCGUAAAGAACUUGCCUCACAGCUAGGGACAACAUUUGGAAACGAAUGCUAAUACCUGAUAUUAUGACUUUAGGGCAUCCUAGAAUUAUGAAAGCUAUAUGCGCUGUGAGAGAGCUUUGCGUCUCAUUAGCUAGUUGGAGAGGUAACGGCUCACGAAGGCGAUGAUGGGUAGCCGGCCUGAGAGGGUGAACGGCCACAAGGGGACUGAGACACGGCCCUUACGCCUACGGGAGGCAGGAGUGGGGGAUAUUGGACAAUGGACCAAGAGUCUGAUCCAGCCAUUCUGUGUGCACGAUGAAGUUUUUCGGAAUGUAAAGUGCUUUCAGUUGGGAAGAAAAAAAUGACGGUACCAACAGAAGAAGUAACGGCUAAAUACGUG
rnacentral:rRNA from 1 species